CCUACGGGAGGCUGCAGUAGGGAAUCUUCCACAAUGGGCGAAAGCCUGAUGGAGCAACGCCGCGUGGGUGAAGAAGGUCUUCGGAUCGUAAAACCCUGUUGAUAGAGAAGUAAGUGCGUGAGAGUAACUGUUCACGUUUCAACGGUAUCUAACCAGAAAGCCACGGCUAACUACGUGCCAGCAGCCGCGGUAAUACGUCGGUGGCAAGCGUUAUCCGGAGUUAUUGGGCGUAAAGGGCACGCAGUCGGUCUUUUAAGUCUGAUGUGAAAGCCUUCGGCUUAACCGGAGUAGUGCAUUGGAAACUGGGGGACUUGAGUGCAGAAGAGGAGAGUGGAACUCCAUGUGUAGCGGUGAAAUGCGUAGAUAUAUGGAAGAACACCAGUGGCGAAGGCGGCUCGCUGGUCUGUAACUGACGCUGAUGUUCGAAAGCGUGGGUAGCAAACAGGAUUAGAUACCCCUGUAGUC
rnacentral:rRNA from 1 species